GUGCUUAGUUCGGCAGCACAUAAACUAAAGUUGGAACAAUACAGAGAAGAUUAGCAUGGCCCAUGUGAAAAGAUGAAAUGUAAAUCUGUGAAGCAUUCCAUAUUUUU
ensembl:snRNA U6 U6 spliceosomal RNA